AUACGGAGGAUGCGAGCGUUAUCCGGAUUUAUUGGGUUUAAAGGGAGCGUAGGCGGGAGCUUAAGUCAGCGGUUAAAUGGUGCGGCUCAACCGUGCCCUGCCGUUGAAACUGGGUUUCUUGAGAGUGCAAGAGGCGGAUGGAAUUCAUGGUGUAGCGGUGAAAUGCUUAGAUAUCAUGAAGAACUCCGAUUGCGAAGGCAGUCCGCUGGGGCACGUCUGACGCUGAUGCUCGAAGGUGCGGGAAUCAAACAGGAUUAGAUACCCUGGUAGUCCGCACGGUAAACGAUGAUUACCCGCUGUCGGCGGCAGACAGUCGGCGGCCAAGCGAAAGCGAUAAGUAAGCCACCUGGGGAGUACGCCGGCAACGGUGAAACUCAAAUGAAUUGACGGGG
rnacentral:rRNA from 1 species